CCCUUAGAUGUUCUGGGCCGCACGCGGGCUACACUGAUGCAUUCAACGAGCCUAUCCUUGACCGACAGGUCCGGGUAAUCUUUGAAUCUGCAUCGUGACGGGGAUAGAUUAUUGCAAUUAUUAAUCUUCAACGAGGAAUGCCUAGUAGGCGCAAGUCAUCAGCUUGCGUCGAUUACGUCCCUGCCCUUUGUACACACCGCCCGUCGCUCCUACCGAUUGGGUGUGCUGGUGAAAUGUUCGGAUCGGCCGUUUGUCGCGGUUUCCGCGUCAUGUGGCUGAGAAGUUCAUUAAACCCUCCCACCUAGAGGAAGGAGAAGUCGUAACA
rnacentral:rRNA from 1 species